rnacentral:rRNA from 1 species
ACGGUAAAAGACAGUUAAGCAGGACUACAUAAUCAUUAGAUCUUUAGUAUAGGAGUAAAAUCUAGAUACUAAAAGUUAUACCUGACAUGGUUGUUUAUGGUGCUGAGUCUGUGACAGCUUUAAGGGAAACUGGGAUUGGAUACCCCAUUAUUUUUAGCUGUAAAUAUAGUUUGAGCUUACCGGAGCACUACGAAUAAAAAGUUUAAAACUCAAAGGGCUUGGCGGUGUUUUAGACCUCUCAGGGGAACCUGUCUCAUAAUCGACAAUCCACGUUAGACCUAACCUUCUAUGGUAAUUCAGCCUGUAUACCGUCGUCGUCAGGUAACUUCUAAAAAUACAGUAGUUAGCUUGAGAAUUUUUUAAUUAAUACGUCAGAUCAAGGUGCAGCCAAUGAGAGGGUGAGGAUGGGUUACAGUUACAAAUUUGUAAUUACGGAAGGAGACUUGAAAUUAAGUGUCUUGAAGGAGGACUUGAAAGUAAUUUUAAUUAUAUAAGUGGAAUGAAUAAGGCUCUGAAACGUG